rnacentral:rRNA from 1 species
AAUAUUGGACAAUGGGCGAAAGCCUGAUCCAGCCAUGCCGCGUGAGUGAUGGCGGCCCUAGGGUUGUAAAGCUCUUUCCGCGGGGAGGAUAAUGACGUUACCCGCAGAAGAAGCCCCGGCUAACUUCGUGCCAGCAGCCGCGGUGAUACGAAGGGGGCAAGCGUUGUUCGGAAUCACUGGGCGUAAAGCGCGCGUAGGCGGAUUGUUAAGUCAGGGGUGAAAGCCCGAGGCUCAACCUCGGAACUGCCUUUGAUACUGGCAAUCUUGAGUCCGGGAGAGGUGAGUGGAACUCCUAGUGUAGAGGUGAAAUUCGUAGAUAUUAGGAAGAACACCAGUGGCGAAGGCGGCUCACUGGCCCGGUACUGACGCUGAUGCGCGAAAGCGUGGGGAGCAAAC